rnacentral:rRNA from 1 species
UACGGAGGGUGCGAGCGUUAUCCGGAUUUACUGGGUUUAAAGGGUGUGUAGGCGGGUCCUUAAGUCAGUGGUGAAAUCUCCGGGCUCAACCCGGAAACUGCCAUUGAUACUAUAGGUCUUGAAUAUUGUGGAGGUGGGCGGAAUGUGUCAUGUAGCGGUGAAAUGCUUAGAGAUGACAAAGAACACCGAUUGCGAAGGCAGCCCACUACGCAACUAUUGACGCUGAGGCACGAAAGCGUGGGGAUCAAACAGG